CUUCGGACUGUGAACAGGCGCUGCAUGUCUGUCGUCAGACUCGUGUUGUGAAAAUGUUAUGGGGUUAAGUCCCGCAACGAGCGCAACCCUUAUCCUUUGUUGCCAGCGGUUAGGCCGGGAACCUCAAAGGAGACUGCCAGUGAUAAACUGGAGGAAGGUGGGGAUGACGUCAAGUCAUCAUGGCCCUUACGACCAGGGCUACACACGUGCUACAAUGGCAUAUACAAAGAGAAGCGACCUCGCGAGAGCAAGCGGACCUCAUAAAGUAUGUCG
rnacentral:rRNA from 1 species